rnacentral:rRNA from 1 species
GAUUAUUACCGCGGCUGCUGGCACCAUGGCGGACGGGUGAGUAACGCGUAUGUAACCUACCCUGUACAGGGGGAUAACCCGGAGAAAUUCGGACUAAUAUCCCAUAACAAUAUCCGGGGGCAUCUUUGGAUAUUUAAAGUUCCGGCGGUACGGGAUGGGCAUGCGUAACAUUAGCUAGUUGGUAAGGUAACGGCUUACCAAGGCUUUGAUGUUUAGGGGUCCUGAGAGGGUGGUCCCCCACACUGGUACUGAGACACGGACCAGACUCCUACGGGAGGCAGCAGUGAGGAAUAUUGGUCAAUGGGCGCAAGCCUGAACCAGCCAUCCCGCGUGCAGGAAGACGGCGCUAUGCGUUGUAAACUGCUUCUCCAGGGAGAGAAACUUGCGCACGUGUUGCGCAAUUGACGGUACCCUGGGAAUAAGCAUCGGCUAACUCCGUGCCAGCAGCCGCGGUAAUAAU